rnacentral:rRNA from 1 species
GACGAACGCUGGCGGCGUGCUUAACACAUGCAAGUCGAACGGGAAAUAGUAGACAGAAGGCUAGGCUAAAAAGUACCAAUUAGGGUGGCGAACGGGAGAGUAACCCGUGAGCAACCUGCCUAUGACAGUGGGAUAGCCUCGGAAAACCGGGAUUAAUCCCGCAUAAAAUCGUAGAAACACAUGUUUCAACGGGCAAAGAUUUAUCGGUCAUAGACGGGCGCGCGUCUGAUUAGCUAGUUGGCGAGAUAACAGCCCACCAAGGCGUCGAUCAGUAGCCGGUCUGAGAGUAGGAACGGCGACUCCGAAGCAGAGAAACGGUACAGACACAUGCGGGAGACAGCAGUGGGGAAUCAUGCAACAUGGGCGAGCAACUGAUGGAGCGACGGCGCGUAGACGUAGAAGGUGUGGGUAUCGUACAGUUCUGUCCUAUGGGAAGAUAAUGACAGUACCAUAGAAGAAAGCACCGGCUAAAUACGUG